GACCAAGAUGCCGGAGAGGGAGAACACAUGACAGUGUCCAAACUUUUGACUGAAAAAUGUCUGAUGGGCUACAUAUUCACUCAUUGGAUGGCUCUUUCAUCGAGCGGGUUCCCGCCAAAAAUAUCUGGGCAUUUGGAUUGACAAAGAUCUAACCUUUAAAAAACUUAAGGAUGAGUUAGUUAAAAAGCUAAGAAUUAAAAUUGUAUUUUUUAGAAAUAGAUCUUGCUUCUCCAUGAACAGCAAGAAGCAAAUUGUGCAGUCAACUUUCCUGCCAGUUCUUGACACCAUGUACCAGAAUGCAGCAGCCACUUCUCUGAUACCAUUGGAUGCUGUCUACCAUAUUUCCCUUCACUUUAUUACAGAUUGGGGACCGGUGGAGCUGAUUGGGUCGUUAAGGUGACAAAUUGCACCUGGGUUUGGGAUCAACUAGGAGAUAAAGGUUCCUGGUCCCCAGUCCUCACGCUCCCUCAUCAAGCACCGUUUUGUGAUCUGGUUGAUUUAAAAAAUAAAAAAUAAAGUUUUAUGUGCACCCUUCAACACUUACACACAUUUUACCUUCUCCAUUACACCCCACGCAUGCCUACUUUCACACUACAUAGCUUAGUUUUCCUUUGUAGUUUGAUACUUUUAGUUAUUUAAUGAAUAUUUUUGUUACUCAACUGCCAACGUGUGGACUCCAUUGUUUGACACCAUCUGAGAGCCGGGCUGUGACGUUAGCGAGAUGGCGCCAUUCAUGUACAGAAUUAAUAGGAGAUUACCGUGACUCAACGGUCAAGGGGAUGUAGUCAUGACUGGAUCUGGUGUGGCGGUAAUGUAAUCGAAUACCUCAGUCACCGCAACAGCCCUACAACAACCAGAACCUCUUUAAUG